rnacentral:lncRNA from 1 species
UCAUCGGGUUAAUGGAUCAACUACCAAAUUAAUCGGGUCAAUUGUCAGUUCAAUAAAAAAUAUUAUAAAAUAUAAAUAUUUUAAAAAUUCAAAAUUGAAAUUUUAACUCAAGUUAUAGCUUUAUAAAUCAACCAUAAAACUAUAAAUUUUAAGGUAUAUUAUAAACUACGAAUUUUAUAAUAUAAAAUUUAUAAAAUAAUUAAUUACUAGUUAAAAAUGAAACUACUUAACAUUUUAUUAAAAUCAUAUUUUAUAUUUUAAU